rnacentral:rRNA from 1 species
GAUGAACGCUGGCGGCGUGCCUAAUACAUGCAAGUCGAGCGAACAGACGAGGAGCUUGCUCCUCUGACGUUAGCGGCGGACGGGUGAGUAACACGUGGAUAACCUACCUAUAAUACUUGGAUAACUUCGGGAAACCGGAGCUAAUACCGGAUAAUAUAUUGAACCGCAUGGUUCAAUAGUUAAAGACGGUUUUGCUGUCACUUAUAGAUGGAUCCGCGCCGCAUUAGCUAGUUGGUAAGGUAACGGCUUACCAAGGCAACGAUGCGUAGCCGACCUGAGAGGGUGAUCGGCCACACUGGAACUGAGACACGGUCCAGACUCCUACGGGAGGCAGCAGUAGGGAAUCUUCCACAAUGGGCGAAAGCCUGACGGAGCAACACCGCGUGAGUGAUGAAGGUCUUCGGAUCGUAAAACUCUGUUAUUAGGGAAGAACAAAUGUGUAAGUAACUAUGCACGUCUUGACGGUACCUAAUCAGAAAGCCACGGCUAACUACGUG